AAAGUAAGCUAAUUUU
rnacentral:tRNA from 1 species